CUUGUCUGUUAUGCUAAAGUGUAGUUUUGCUAGCCCUGUAUGUAAUUGUUUUAUUCACCUAUAUGCAUUCCUCUAUUUCCCCUCUGAUUUGUGACUGACCUCUGACCCCUCCCUUCUCUUAUUGAUAUGUGUUUUAUUUGAAUAUCCAUCUCUUCAUCUCUGUACCUAGAUACAUUUCCCCCUCCCUUACUUUAUUGCAAGCUUUCUGACCCUCACAUCUCUUUAUUCAACAGCCUGAUUCCCCAACUUUGCAAGCCCAUUCCUUCAGUGAGCAAGCCUGAUGCCCACUCUCUCCUCCCCACACUCAUUAUUACAUUUAUAGAUAGUCUGUCACACCUACAUUUUAGUUAGGUUAAAAAAAACCUGCCUCUUAUUAGUACACUCCUGCACUUUCUUAACCCAUAAAACACCUUCACCUGCUCUUGAUAUUCCAAUUAUCUCCAAUUUUUAUUUUUCACAGCUUAGCAAUGAUCUGUUCUCUCCUCCUCUUUAUUUCCACAGUCUCCCUCAGUAUAAAAAUCUCUCGUUACACCCACUUCACUCAUCCACAUAUGCCAUUCUCUGCUAUACUCCCCCCUUCUCUCAUCUCAUGCCUUACUCAUUUUUCUACACUCUCUCCAACCCACAAUCCAUCUCAUCCUAGACCCCCAUGCAUACAAAACCCAUUCACACCUCCUGUCACUUUCUCUCCUCCUACUUCUAGCAGCUGGUGAUGUCUCUCCCAAUCCAGGGCCCUUCACCUUCUCUACACACACACUAACAACCAGAAACCCCACCAACCUCAUCACAAUACCCUGCCCUUUACCCUCACUUACCAAAAUUAAUUGUGCACUCUGGAAUGCCCGCUCCAUCUGCAGUAAUUUUAAAAUCAACAACCAUACACGACUUUUCAAUCUCAAACUCACUCACACUGCUUGCACUUACAGAGACCUGGCUGUCCCCCUCUGAUAGCGCUACUCCUGCCUCUAUGUUUUGAUGGGCUACAAUUCUCUCUCACUCCCAGACUCAACUGUAAAGGAGGCGGCGUAGGCAUCCUUCUCUCCCCUCAAUGUACCUUUCAACCAAUCAUAACUCCCACUGCCCUAUCCUUUUCUUCUUCUGAAGUUUACACUGUCCGCCUAUUUAAACCCACUCCUUUAAGAAUUGCUAUCAUCUACCGCCCCUCCCGCUUAUCCUAGACUAUUCAUUGAGCACUUUUCUUCCUGGCUUCCCCACUUCCUCUCAUUUAGCACUCCUUCCCUUAUACUUGGGGAUUUCAAUAUCCCAAUCAAUAACCCCAAUUGCACUGAUGCCUCUCGUCUGCUCUCUGUAACCUCCUCCUUUGGCCUUACGCAAUGGUCCAAUUUAGCAACCCAUACAGCAGGAAACACCUCUUGAUCUUGCCUUCACCAACCUUUGUACUGCCUCUAAUCUCUCCAAUAUUCCUUUUCCUCUAUCUGACCACCAUCUGCUGAUUUUUGACAUUGGCAUACCUAAGACCCAAUUGACACCACCGUCUGAACAUCACUCACAGAAACCUCCAAUGUCUUGACCUAGAGCAUUUAUCCACUAAUCUCCAAACUCUCCUUUUACCUAUCUCAAACCUCACCUGUCCUAGUUCUGCAACCUCCUUCUACAAUUCCACCCUCUCCUCUCAACUAGACAUCAUGGCACCUUGUACAUUUAAACACUGCAGGCCCCCCCAACAACAACCCUGGCACACCAAGCUCACUCGAUACCUCCAAAAAUGCUCCAGAACUGCUGAACGCUGUUGGAGAAAGUCUCACUGUGCAUCUGACUUUCUCCACUAUAAAUUUAUGCUGAGCUCAUACAGCUUGGCUCUUUCCUCUGCAAAAGUUAAUUACUUCAAUACCCUCAUAACCACGCUCUCCCGCGAACCCAAACGACUAUUUCACACAUUUAACUCUCUUCGCCCUGCUGUUCCUCCUCCACUUGCUAACUUGACCGCCUCAGACUUUGCAACUCACUUCACUGACAAGAUCUCUACAAUCAGAGAAGAGAUCUCUCAUCUUUCUUCUUCCCCUUACAAUACUUGCCCUAACUUCACUCCCUCUGCUGUUCUAUGUUCAUUCGCACCCGCUACAUUGGAAGAGGUUUCUGCUCUGCUCCAGUCCUCCCGCCCCACUACCUGCUCCCUAGAUCCAAUUCCCUCAC